AGCGAACGCUGGCGGCAGGCCUAACACAUGCAAGUCGAACGCCCGUAGCAAUACGGGAGUGGCAGACGGGUGAGUAACGCGUGGGAGCGUACCCUUCGGUUCGGGAUAAUCCAGGGAAACUUGGACUAAUACCGGAUACGUCCGUGAGGAGAAAGAUUUAUCGCCGAAGGAUCGGCCCGCGUCGGAUUAGCUAGUUGGUGAGGUAACGGCUCACCAAGGCUUUGAUCCGUAGCUGGUCUGAGAGGACGAUCAGCCACACUGGGACUGAGACACGGCCCAGACUCCUACGGGAGGCAGCAGUGGGGAAUAUUGGACAAUGGGCGCAAGCCUGAUCCAGCCAUGCCGCGUGAGUGAUGAAGGCCUUAGGGUUGUAAAGCUCUUUCGGCGGGGACGAUAAUGACGGUACCCGCAGAAGAAGCCCCGGCCAACUUCGUGCCAGCCGCCGCAGUAAGAC
rnacentral:rRNA from 1 species